UACGUAGGGGGGCAAGCGUUGUCCGGAUUUAUUGGGCGUAAAGAGCGUGUAGGCGGCCAGACAGGUCCGUUGUGAAAACUCGAGGCUCAACCUCGAGAUGUCGAUGGAAACCGUCUGGCUAGAGUCCCGGAAGAGGAGUGUGGAAUUCCUGGGUGUAGCGGUUGAAAUGCGCAGAUAUCAGGAAGAACACCUAUGGCGAAGGCAGCACUCUGGGACGGUACUGACGCUGAGACGCGAAAGCGUGGGGAGCGAACAGG
rnacentral:rRNA from 1 species